rnacentral:rRNA from 1 species
UGGUAAUGCCGGAUGCUCCAGUUGACCGCAUGGUCCUCUGGGAAAGCUUUUGCGGUAUGGGAUGGGGUCGCGUCCUAUCAGCUUGAUGGCGGGGUAACGGCCCACCAUGGCUUCGACGGGUAGCCGGCCUGAGAGGGCGACCGGCCACAUUGGGACUGAGAUACGGCCCAGACUCCUACGGGAGGCAGCAGUGGGGAAUAUUGCACAAUGGGCGCAAGCCUGAUGCAGCGACGCCGCGUGCGGGAUGACGGCCUUCGGGUUGUAAACCGCUUUUGACUGGGAGCAAGCCCUUCGGGGUGAGUGUACCUUUCGAAUAAGCACCGGCUAACUACGUGCCAGCAGCCGCGGUAAUACGUAGGGUGCAAGCGUUAUCCGGAAUUAUUGGGCGUAAAGGGCUCGUAGGCGGUUCGUCGCGUCCGGUGUGAAAGUCCAUCGCUUAACGGUGGAUCCGCGCCGGGUACGGGCGGGCUUGAGUGCGGUAGGGGAGACUGGAAUUCCCGGUGUAACGGUGGAAUGUG